rnacentral:lncRNA from 1 species
CAGCCUCAAUGCUCACUCUGGGAGCAUUUUUCCUCCCAGAAACACCCAACAGCAUAAUCCAGAACAGCAAAGACCAUCACAAGGCUAAGCUAAUGUUGCAACGCAUUAGAGGCACCCAUGAUGUCCAACCAGAACUUGAUGACCUAAUUGAAGCAAGCAACAUAUCAAGUUCUAUCAAACACCCAUUUAAGAACAUCUUAAAGAGAAAGUAUAGGCCUCAACUUGUCAUGGCAAUAGCUAUACCAAUUUUUCAACAAUUCACUGGAAUUAAUGUCAUUGCCUUCUAUGCUCCAAUCCUCUUUCUAACCAUCGGAUUGGGCGAAAGCGCUUCGCUUCUUUCUGCAGUUAUGACUGGGGUUGUAGGUACUGCUUCAACAUUCAUAUCAAUGCUCAUAGUUGAUAAACUAGGCAGACGAGCUCUGUUCAUAUCUGGGGGCAUUCAGAUGCUCUUCUCACAAAUUAUAAUAGGAAGUAUUAUGGCAGCUCAACUUGGUGACCAUGGUGAAAUAAGCAAGCAAUAUGCAUAUUUGAUUCUGGUUUUAAUAUGCAUAUAUGUUGCUGGAUUUGGCUGCUCAUGGGGGCCACUAGAAUGGUUGGCUACUAGUGAAAUUUUCCCACUCGAAAUUCGAUCAGCAGGACAAAGUAUUACAGUUGCAGUGAACUUUUUAUUUACUUUCAUUGUUGCCCAAACUUUUCUUAGUAUGCUUUGUCAUUUCAAGUAUGGCACUUUCUUCUUUUUUGGGGGUUGGGUGGCUGUGAUGACAGCAUUUGUUUACUUGCUGUUACCCGAGACCAAAAAUGUGCCAAUUGAGCAAAUGGAUAAGGUGUGGAAAGAACAUUAUUUUUGGAAGAGAUUUGUGGAAGACGAAAGCAAAGGCAGAAAGAUAGGGGUACCUUGAUGUAUAUCAUUCCACAAGUUAUAUUUAUCUGGUACUUACUGUCAGAAAUAUAAUAUAAAAUUAUUUGUAGAUCUUCAUCCUAAAACUUGGACUUUUAGGAUAGUUGAUUCAUGACAUCAUAUUAAAGCCUCUAUAUCAAAAAAAAUAGAGUUCCAUCAUUGCUUCCCCUACUGUUCUUAGAAUAUUUUCCACGAAGAGCCAAUUGGACAUCCGAUAAUGAAACUUGCACCAUGGCAGUUUAACAGAUUAAGGCCAAUGGACUCUUAAGUGGGAGUGUUAAAAUAUAUAUAAAAUCAAUCACGAAACUUGCCCCGAAGCCGAAUAUAUAAAUACACAUGGGUAUGAAUCCUCUCCCGUGACAUGACCACUAGAGAGAGAUCUCAUCCAUCUAAAAUAUUUUUUCCCUAACAUUUUGGAUGGUAGGGAUAUCUCUCCGAUGGUCAUGUCAUGGAAAGAAUUCAAACCCAUAUCUAAAACAGCCUACUAGUUAUGUACUUUAAAUCAAAGCACUAUAAGUGAAGUUCAGCAAUUUUCAUGCAUCUUAAAUGACAUAAAAGUAGCAUGAGGGAAUACUGAGCAAGGAAUUCCAAAUAAAGACUAAUAUAAACAAAUUUCACGGACCCAUCGAGGUAAAAGAAACUACUGUCAAUAUAUUGAAAUCCUGUAGUCUGAAAUCUUCAUGCAAGCAUUGAUAUUGUAAGAAAUAUAUAAUAGAUGAAGGAUGAAGUUAUAGUUUGUUCUUUUGAGGCUUGGAUGAGUAUAAGCGCUUAUUCUAAACUUACAUAUGAGCAGCUUAUGAACAAACUUAGAAAGACUUAUAGAUAAGUUAAUUAGAAACUACUUUCAAAAGUUUAUCCAAACACUUGUCUAUGUGCGUAUGUUAUAAAAUAAGUUCAAAUAAGUUCCGCUAAUUUCACGAGAAUGGCAGGUGGGGUAACAUCGAUGGGGCCAUUCUUGGACAAGUUUUUCCCAGAUGUAUACACCAAGAUGAAGCAAGACACCAACGUUAGCAACUACUGCAAGUUUGAUAGCCAGCUCCUAACAACAUUCACUUCAUCACUCUACAUAGCUGGCCUGGUGACAUCCUUCUUUGCCUCAUCAGUCACAAGAGCCUUUGGGCGCAAACCAUCAAUGCUUGCAGGUGGUGUUGCAUUCCUCAUUGGAGCAGCUCUUGGUGGCGCAGCUCUCAAUAUAUACAUGCUAAUACUUGGUCGAAUUCUACUUGGAGUUGGAAUUGGCUUUUCUAACCAGGUUGGCUUAUCCAUUAUCCAUACAAUGCCCUUCUAUAUUUAUUUGAUCAGCUAUGACACACAAACAGGACAAACCUCACCGGCAAAUCUUGGCAUGGUUGAUAGAUAGUUAAGUUCCUUAAACAUCCUGACAAGGGUUCGAACCUUAGCUGUGUGUAUGAGAAAAGAUUAGUGGAGCGAAGCAAAGCUCAUUCCGCCAAUCUCUACCUCUCGAAAGGGUUUGGCUGCCGGUUGUGGGACACCAUUGGUGCACACACAAAAAUACAGACACUCAACUUAGACCUCAGUUUUCUCUCAAUCUAUCUCUUCCUAUCACAUCAUAUAUCACACUCAUUACUUCUAUCUUUUUUCUUCAUUUCUCACUGUGGUGUCUGCUCAACAUUUUCCUUAUUUGAUUAUUGGAUAUUGUUAACACAAUAACUUUAUCAUAAUCCUUAUAUGGAAGCAAAACUUCACUGUUUUGCAGUCAGUCCCAUUAUAUCUCUCUGAAAUGGCACCCACAAGAUACAGAGGAGCAAUCAACAAUGGAUUCCAAUUUUGUGUUGGCAUAGGUGCUCUAUCAGCUAACCUGAUUAACUAUGGCACAGAAAAGAUCAAAGAUGGUUGGGGCUGGAGAAUUUCUUUGGGCAUGGCAGCAGUUCCAGCCUCAAUGCUCACUCUGGGAGCAUUUUUCCUCCCAGAAACACCCAACAGCAUAAUCCAGAACAGCAAAGACCAUCACAAGGCUAAGCUAAUGUUGCAACGCAUUAGAGGCACCCAUGAUGUCCAACCAGAACUUGAUGACCUAAUUGAAGCAAGCAACAUAUCAAGUUCUAUCAAACACCCAUUUAAGAACAUCUUAAAGAGAAAGUAUAGGCCUCAACUUGUCAUGGCAAUAGCUAUACCAAUUUUUCAACAAUUCACUGGAAUUAAUGUCAUUGCCUUCUAUGCUCC